UAACACGUGAGCAACCUGCCCUUGACUCUGGAAUAACAGUUGGAAACAGCUGCUAAUACCGGAUAUGACUCCACACGUCAGUCGUGUGGGGUGGAAAGCCCUGGCGGUCAAGGAUGGGCUCGCGGCCUAUCAGCUUGUUGGUGAGGUAACGGCUCACCAAGGCUUCGACGGGUAGCCGGCCUGAGAGGGCGACCGGCCACACUGGGACUGAGAUACGGCCCAG
rnacentral:rRNA from 1 species